rnacentral:rRNA from 1 species
UACGGAAGGUCCAGGCGUUAUCCGGAUUUAUUGGGUUUAAAGGGAGCGUAGGCCGCCUGGUAAGCGUGUUGUGAAAUUUGCCGGCUCAACCGGUAACUUGCAGCGCGAACUGCAGAGCUUGAGUGUGCGCAACGUUGGCGGAAUUCGUCGUGUAGCGGUGAAAUGCUUAGAUAUGACGAAGAACUCCGAUUGCGAAGGCAGCUGACGGGAGCACUACUGACGCUGAAGCUCGAAAGUGCGGGUAUCGAACAGGAUUAGAUACCCUGGUAGUCCGCACGGUAAACGAUGGAUGCCCGCUGUUUGUCCUGAUGGACAAGCGGCCAAGCGAAAGCGUUAAGCAUCCCACCUGGGGGGUACGCCGGCAACGGUGAA